AAAGUUGAAGGAAAAGAGUGGGAGAGCUUUGCAUCAUGAAUUAUUUUAUACUUGUGUUGGCAUCAAUUUUUGCUUUGAUUUUUGUAUAUAGUCUAGCAAAAUUAUCCAGCAAAAAACUUCCACCAGGGCCAUCACCAUGGCCAAUUAUUGGAAAUAUUCACUUGUUAGGUGCAAAUCCCCAUACAUCACUAGCCAAUCUUGCAAAAAUUUAUGGUCCAAUUAUGAGUUUAAAAUUAGGACAAAUAACAACAGUGGUCAUUUCUUCAUCAUCCAUGGCAAAACAAGUCCUCAAAAAUCAUGACUUAGCCUUUUCCACUAGAUUUAUCCCUGAUGCCCUUCAAGCACACAAUUAUAGCAAAUUCUCUGCUGUAUGGCUUCCUGUUUGUCCUCAAUGGCGAACACUUAGGAAAAUCAUGAACACCAAACUCCUCUCUACUAAUAGGCUUGAUGCAAAUCAACAUCUAAGAUCUCAAAAGGAGAAAGAAUUGAUUGAUUAUUGUGAAAAAUGUAGCCAACAAGGUGAAGCUGUGGAUGUAGGUCAACUUGUUUUCAAGACUAAUCUCAAUUUAGUGUCAAAUACCCUUUUCUCCAAGGAUUUGGUUGAUCUUUAUUCGGAUGCAAAGGUUGAGUUGAAGGACGCGAUCUUGAGCAUCAUUGAUGUUGCUGGGAUGAUCAACCUAGUGGAUUUUUUCCCUAUACUUGAAAAUGUUGAUCCUCAAAGAAUAAGGUAUCGCACAAACAUUCAUUUUGGUAAGUUGUAUAAACUCUUUGGUGAUAUGAUCAAUGAGCGGUUGGAAGAAAAGAAAACGAACCAGAGUGAAAAGAGUGAUAUUUUACAAGUUCUUCUCAACCACAGUGCAGAAAAUCCCCAAGAGAUGGAUAGAAAUUUUAUGAAUUCGACGCUCCUGGACUUAUUUAUUGGUAGUAUUGAUACAAUUACAAACACGGUAGAAUGGGCAAUGGCAGAAAUACUUAGACAACCAGAGAUUAUGAAGAAAGUCCAAGCUGAGCUUGCACAAGUCGUUGGAAAAGGAAAACCAAUAGAAGAAGCUGAUGUAUCCAGACUCCCUUAUUUGCAAUUUAUCAUCAAAGAAACAUUAAGACUUCACCCACCAGCUCCAUUCUUAAUCCCCCGCAGGGUGGACCAAGAUGUUGAAUUGUGUGAUUAUAUCAUUCCAAAGGGUUCAAUAGUACUAGUCAAUGCGUGGGCUAUUGGCCGUGAUUCUUCUUUUUGGGAAGACACUUUAGUGUUUAAACCUGAGAGAUUCCAGAGUUUAGAAUUGAAUAUGCGUGGUAAAGAUUUUGAAUUGAUUCCAUUUGGUGCUGGCCGAAGAACAUGCCCUGGAUUUCCAUUGGCAUUGAGAUUGAUGCCAGUAAUAUUGGGCUCGAUGUUGAAUUCAUUCAAUUGGAAACUUGAGGCAUGCAUUGAGCCAAAAGACUUAGACAUGGAGGAGAAAUUUGGUGCCAUCAUAGCCAAAGCUCAUCCUUUGCGAGCUAUCCCAUCUCCUCUUUGAAAUUCCGCUCAGUUCAUAAUAAAUACUUAUCUAAUAUCGGUUUUCUUAUUAUGUCCACAAUCACCAACUACCACUCUAUUUAUCAUCAUUACUUUAUCCACAAUCACCACCCAUUACCAUCAGUGACGUAACCUUUUGCCAUAUAUUGAAAUCAUAACUCAAAGGUGUUUGCGACUUGUUCAUACCUUAUUUGAAAUAAAAUGGUUUCAUGUUCUUGAUUGAUUGA